GCACUCUGAGGAGGGGAUGAAGUUCCUGUCAUAUGUAAGGGUUCAGGGAAGGCCUGCCAGCUACGGUAACAUUUGAUCAGAGAGAAGUCCAGGAAAUGAGGAAGCAAGACAUGCAGACGUACGACAGGAGAGGAAUCUAGGUAGAGAGAGACCUACAGCGGGAAGUCCCUGAGCCUUAAAGGAUGACGCCACCACCUGCCUACCUAGAUGAGGCUGUGUCUCACAAUGCUUACAUCUGCAGGGUGAUGAGAACAUGAUCUAGAGUGAGACCGACGGCAGUGGGAUGGGAGUGUGCAUGGCUGGAGAGUGCUGAAACAGACCCCCACUGCCAGCAGUGCCAGCUCUUGUCCAAACAUCGAAGAUAAGCAAUUAUCAACACUGAGAACACGUUGGUUUGUUGUUUCUUUCCUUUAGGAGUGCCUGCUUAGAAAGUCAAACAGCAUUUUGCACCCCAAGGACUGUGACAGUACCAAAAAAGCCCUUUUUUUUUACCACCUGUUGCCUGCACAGACAAUCCUUCCAGUGCUUAGGAGUUCAGUUCAAGUGAUUUUGAAGAAAAAUAGCCAUGGAUGACAAUGGUGAACUCUGAGUGGUAAAUAAAGGGCUGAGAUAUAAACUACUAAGAUCAACUAAAACUCCAGUGCAUUCAGAGAGACUUAAAUUACAAUUGUUCUGAGAAAUCGGUAACUAACUCAGGGACAUUGACAAAUACUCCUAAUAUGCUCAGACAAUGUCAGUGGGUUGGUAUAUACAAAUUUAUAUAAAAUACAUGCAAGGAAAUAUAAGCCAAUUUUCCAUACAUGUGAAUGAGAAAGCCCUUUUCUAACCUGCCUGGAAUCAUUUGCUCUAACACUUUUGGGGAGCACAGUGCAUGAUCCCUUAGAGGAUAUAUCAUCAUUACCUUAGAACAACCAGUUAAGGAGUCCCUAGAAAGGAUCCUCUGACUGCUAAGGACAGUCGUUCAUUCAUUUCACUCAUUCACUCAGUCACCUAUCAAUCUUUAACAAGGUGACAACUGUACGUCAGGAACCACAUGAGGUUCUCUCUGUUACUUAAGAAUUUCUAGGGAUGAGAGUAGUGAGGAGAAGCAACAUACUCUCUCCAUUUCUUUGCCCUCAGAUUUACAAAGCAAAGCAAAUAUAGUAAAGAAAAUAAUUUAUAUAAGUAUGUACAAAGGACCCAAAUGUCUGUAACCAGUCUUUUCCUAGUCACCUGCCCAAAUCUGCCUUUAAAAAAAAAGGAAUUUCCACAUUUCUCUUCAUUCCCCUACUUCUUAGCUCUGUCCUUUUUAGUGAUGUCAAUAAUGCUUUCAAAAACUACAAGUUAUAAAUAGCUUCUAUUAAUGGAACAAUGCCCCUUUUCUCGCAGUGUGACUCUUUCAAUUAACAUGUAUAUAGAAUAUAGCAAGAGUUAAAAUGGUGAUCUAAAAUAAUUUCAUCAGGAUAGUACACUUAUGAUUUCUGCAUUUCACUGUAUGAAAAUUUUAUCUUAAGAGAAAAAAUUGAACUAUAUUUUAUAAUAUGGAUACUUAAGUAUUGAUGUCUGCAACUUAUUUUUAAAUGCAUAAGACAAAGAAAAGACUUGAUAGAUGAAUGGGGAUGGAUAGUUUUGUGACAAAACAAGAGUAAAAUAUUAACUAUGGAUGCAGGUGGUGGGGUAUAUGAGUGUUCAUGGAAACCACCGAUUUUUC